rnacentral:lncRNA from 1 species
GCUGAGGCCUGGGGAAGGGGAGAGAGGCUGAGCCCUGGGGAAGGGGAGAGAGGAUGAGCCCUGGGGAAGGGGAGAGAGGCUGAGCCCUGGGGAAGGGGAGAGAGGCUGAGCCCUGGGGAAGGGGAGAGGCUGAGGCCUGGGGAAGGGGAGAGAGGCUGAGCCCUGGGGAAGGGGAGAGGCUGAGGCUGCUGGGCUUCAAUGGGGGAAGAGUCCUGAUCAUGAUAGAGCCGUAGCUGAUUGGACAACAAGGUGUCCUGUGUUCCCAGACCAGACUGGUCUGGCUAAUCAUCCUCUGAGAAGCUCAUACCUGGGAAUAUAUGUGUGUGUGUGACAAAAAGAGAAGGAAGUGUCAAACUGGGCAGGGUGAGAGGUGGGCAGCACCAUGCAGACCAGGAGGCUGAGGACAGAGAUCUGCUACAUCUGUUUCCUGUCUGUGGGAAGAGAAUCUGCUGAUUUUGGUUUUUGUUUUCAGAUUCGUCGUGAAGUCCUAAAUUCUUUAGGGUUUCUGUGGCUAAGUCAAAGAAGGAGUGACAGGGAAAGCCCUUCGUACAUCAGCUGAUAUUCUCAAAGUGCUGUACAGAAACCCAGCCUAAAACCCCAAACAGCAAGCAAAGCAUGUGAAAGAAGCACGGUGGCUAGGAAAAACUCCCUAGGAAAAAAACCUAGAGAAGAAACCUAGAAAGGCCAAAAACCUAGGAAGAAACCUAGAGAGGAACCAGGCUAUGAGGGGUGGCCAGUCCUCUUCUGUCUGUGCAGGGUGGAUAUUAUAACAGAACAUGGUCAAGAUGUUAAAAUGUUAAAAUGUUCAUAAAUGACCAGCAUGGUCAAAUAAUAAUAAUCAUAGUAGUUGUCGAGGGUGCAACAAGCACGUCCGGUGAACAGGUCAGGGUUCCAUAGCCGCAGGCAGAACAGUUGAAACUGGAGCAGCAGCACGGCCAGGUGGACUGGGGACAGCAAGGAGUCAUCAUACCAGGUAGUCCUGAGGCAUGGUCCUAGGGCUCAGGUCCUCCGAGAGAAAGACAGAAAGAGAGAAAGGGAGAAUUAGAGAGAGCAUAUUUAAAUACACACAGGACACCGGAUAAGACAAGAGAAAUACUCCAGAUGUAACAGACUGACCCUAGCCCCCCGACACAUAAACUACUGCAGCAUAAAUACUGGAGGCUGAGACAGGAGGGAUCAGAAGACACUGUGGCCCCAUCCGAUGAUACCCCGGACAGGGCCAAACAGGCAGGAUAUAACCCCACCCACUUUGCCAAAGCACAGCCCCCACACCACUAGAGGGAUGUCUCCAACCAC